GGGCGAGUGGGAUAACUAUGGUUAAGGAACUCGGCAAAUUGCCUCCGUAACUUCGGGAGAAGGAGGACCCCAGUAGCGUGAUGAGACUUGCCCUCUGAGCGUGAAGGGGUGGCACAAAAUUGAGGGAAGCGACUGUUUACCAAAAACACAGCAGCGUGCUAAGCCGUAAGGCGCUGUAUACGCUGUGACUCCUGCCCGGUGCUGGAAGGUUACGGGGAUGGGUUAGUCCUUCGGGACGAAGCUCUGAACCUAAGCCCCAGUAAACGGCGGCCGUAACUAUAACGGUCCUAAGGUAGCGAAAUUCCUUGUCGGGUAAGUUCCGACCUGCACGAAUGGAGUAACGACUUCCCUACUGUCUCAACCAUAGACCCAGCGAAAUUGAAGUACGAGUAAAGAUGCUCGUUAGGUGCAGAAGGACGGAAAGACCCCGUGGACCUUUACUAUAACUUGAUGUUGUGUUUUGUCAUAUGUUGUGCAGGAUAGGUGGGAGACUUGGAAGCAUGGACGCUAGUCUGUGUGGAGUCAUCGUUGAAAUACCACCCUGCAUAUGGUGAGGCUCUAACCUAGACCCGUUAUCCGGGUUGGGGACAGCGUCAGGCGGGUAGUUUAACUGGGGCGGUUGCCUCCUAAAGAGUAACGGAGGCGCCCAAAGGUUCCCUCAGCCUGGUUGGCAAUCAGGCGUUGAGUGCAAUGGCAAAAGGGAGCUUGACUGCGAGACCUACAAGUCGAGCAGGAGCGAAAGCUGGGCAUAGUGAUCCGGCGGUUGGGUGUGGAAGCGCCGUCGCUCAACGGAUAAAAGGUACCCCGGGGAUAACAGGCUAAUCUUGCCCAAGCGUCCAUAGCGACGGCAAGGUUUGGCACCUCGAUGUCGGCUCAUCGCAUCCUGGGGCUGAAGCAGGUCCCAAGGGUUGGGCUGUUCGCCCAUUAAAGCGGUACGCGAGCUGGGUUCAGAACGUCGUGAGACAGUUCGGUCCCUAUCCUCUGCAGCCGGAGGUGAAUUGAGGAAGCUGUCCCUAGUACGAGAGGACCGGGACGGACGCAGCUCUCGUGUGCCAGUUGUCCUGCCAAGGGCAUGGCUGGUUAGCGGCCUGCGGAAAGGAUAACCGCUGAAAGCAUCUAAGCGGGAAGCCUCUUCCAAGAUGAAUUCACCCACAGGGUUAACCUGGUAAGGCCCGUGGUAGACCACCACGUUGAUAGGCCGGAAGUGUAAGCGUGGCAACACGUUCAGCUGACCGGUACUAAUCGGCC
rnacentral:rRNA from 1 species